rnacentral:snRNA from 1 species
GCCACUCUUCGGGGUGUGCAUACAUUAAAAUUGGAACGAUACAGAGAAGAUUAGCAUGGCCCCUGCACAAGGAUGACACAUGGUUAGUAUUUCAAGAUGAUU